UACGUAGGGGGCAAGCGUUACUCGGAUUUAUUGGGCGUAAAGAGAAUUAAGGCGGUUAUGUAAGUCAAUGGUGAAAUACCUAGGCUCAACUUAGGAAUUGCCUUUGAUACUGCGUGACUUGAGGACAGGAGAGGAAGGCGGAAUUCCCGGUGUAGCGGUGGAAUGCGUAGAUAUCGGGAGGAACGCCUGAGGCGAAGGCGGCUUUCUGGACUGGUCCUGACGCUGAUAUUCGAAAGCUAGGGGAGCAAACAGG
rnacentral:rRNA from 1 species